AGGCUGGCCUUGAACUCACAGAGAUCUGCCUGCCUCUGCCUUCCAAGUGCUGGAAUUAAAGGCAUGCACCACCACUGCCCGACCUUUGAUUUCAUUCUUAAUACAUACAAGGCCGAAGACAGUAAGUGAGCAGCCUCAGGUCGUAUUGAUGGUUAUAGCUGGAGUUGUGUUAGGUUUAAUGUUCGUCCGUGGAAAUGCUAAUCACCAAUGGGAAUCUGUCAAGGAGGUAGAGACUUUGGAGAGUAAUGAAGUUUAGAAGCAGUCAUGAGGAUGGUGCCCACGUGAUGGAAUGAAUGGCUUUUAAGAAAGAUAAGGUCUCUUUUUUGCUCUCCUCUCUCUCUUCCUCUCUCAGUCCUUCUCUCCUUUCUCCUUCCCUCUAUCUCUCAGAGAACAAAGCCCACACUGAGGAAAACUGGGGAUGGGGUAGGGAGCAUAUACUGUGGGAAAAUGGCCAAGAAGUGACUCUUCACCAGGAACUGGAUCUGCCUCUACCUGGACUUUGGACCUCCCAGCUUCCAGAAUUGUGAGAAAUAAACACCUGUGUUUAACCCCCCAGGUGAUGACAACUUACAAGAAGGCAGUUGAUGAGGAGCUGAGUUCCCUAUGCUCAGUCCAAGCCUCCAUCCCUCCCAUAGGGUCCUGGGAGGACAGUGGACUGGAUGCUUUCACUGUCCUGGUUCAGAGCUGAGGAGCCGUGAACCUCAUUCUACAUGGGCCUGCUGGAGGUGAUCGUGAGCCUGGCCGAGAUUCAAUGUCUUUCCGGUGAAAAGGUGGAGAAACAUUUUCCUUUGAGAACGCCAGUGGCAAGAGAGCAGGAGCGGAUAGUGGUGCUGUCCAACUGCGAGGCCGAGUGGAGGAGGCCUGGUGAAGAGCAGCUGUGGAGGACGGUGGAGCGGGGUGGACGGUGGCACGCCAGGGUCAGAAUGGGAAAGAACAGACCCAAUGGAUAGCUCCAAGGAAACGUGAAUCCUCGACCAAGAAGCUGCCCCCUAGCUACCAGCUUUCACCACGACAGGAAGGCCAAGGCCGGUGUUUUAAGGUUUCCACUUGAUGAAGUUGGCUUGACGCAAGCAGUAAUGAAAGUUGCCCAUGGAGGAGGUGGCAGGCAUCAGCCCAAGUGUCAAGUUCACUCAGCCCCUAUGCGCAAAUAGUUAAUUAUGAGGCAUCGCUACCCGACGAACGGAUCACGAGGCUUUCCCCCAUGUAAGCUGGCACAUGUUUAAGGUUUGCAGA